rnacentral:rRNA from 1 species
GGGAGGCAGCAGUGAGGAAUAUUGGUCAAUGGACGAGAGUCUGAACCAGCCAAGUAGCGUGAAGGAUGACUGCCUAUGGGUUGUAAACUUCUUUUAUACGGGAAUAAGUGAGCCACGUGUGGCUUUUUGUAUGUACCGUAUGAAUAAGGAUCGGCUAACUCCGUACCAGCAGCCGCGGUAAUACGGAGGAUCCGAGCGUUAUCCGGAUUUAUUGGGUUUAAAGGGAGCGUAGGCGGGUUGUUAAGUCAGUUGUGAAAGUUUGCGGCUCAACCGUAAAAUUGCAGUUGAUACUGGCGACCUUGAGUGCAACAGAGGUAGGCGGAAUUCGUGGUGUAGCGGUGAAAUGCUUAGAUAUCACGAAGAACUCCGAUUGCGAAGGCAGCUUACUGGAUUGUAACUG